UGGCCGGUCCGAAGGGACAGAGCGGUCUCCUAGGUCAGGCCAAGGCAGACCCCGGCGUUCUUGGCUGUUUGAACAACCAUAGCAGACCCAUGUUGGGAGUGGUGCUUCUCAUGUGUGCUUUAAUCCACUAAAAUAAGGGGAUUUCUUGGGACUCCGCAUUUUCAGAGCAGGUUUCAAGCUUCAGAGGGAAGACCAUGGCAUUGAAGGGCAGGAUUUGGGCUUCUAUUGGCUAAUAGUGCCAAACUUACGCAAAAAAAAAAAAGCCAGCACCUGCUUGAGAGCAAACAUGGGAACCAUCGAAGAGCCUAGCUCCAAAUCUGGCCAUGGUGGGGAUGGUGACAAGUAAACCACUGCUCCAUAAAGCAGGCAGAUGCACAUGGUUGCUCCAUCCUGUUCCUCAGGUAGUACCCCUCCACUUAGCCAGGGCUAGUUCUGCUCCAGUACCUGCUGGAAGGAGCAGAAAUGCAAAUGGAUCAUUCCUCAUUGGGUGCACAACCUUCUUGCGUUGGCUAAUGGGAUUAGAAGAAACCCAUGGACAUAUUUCCUGCAGGUCACAGCCAGCGAAGUGAAGUUUGCAGAUAUUACGCUGCCUCUCUGUCACCCUCCCUUCUUUUCUAAUCCUAGCUAUAAUAAUUUAUUCAGUGCUGGUUUCCAGAGACAAAAUUAAUUGGGCCAAGAAAGCAGCUUUUUUCCUCUAAUUGCUUGUGUAGAAAAGGCUUGUUGAGUAUCUUCUCAUGUAAAUCAUUGCCCAGCAGUCUGAAAUCAACCCGCACUCUUGUGGCCACUAAUAAGAGAGAUUUGAAAUGUGGCUUUCUUAGCACAAACCCUGCGUGAAAUGUAACAUACUUGAGUGUGUUACAUUACACUCAGUAAUACACAGCAUAUGCUGGCAUUUUACUUGAGUGCCUGCUUCUUUCCCAACACACUUGACAGAGCCCUGGUCCCCUGGCCUGCAUUUGUGCCAGGGAAGCCACAGCUUCUUGGCACCUGAGGUUGGAGCAGAGGGAGGGAAGGAUUUAUAUUUUCAGCUCAGAGGCAGUGAAAACACGCUUUGGAUCCAGAUUAUCCAGCGUACGGAAGAAUGCCUUCAAAACUCAUUUGAAUUGUCUUGUUACAGUUUAAUUCAGUUCCUCGUAGAGUUCAGGGCCCUGUAGGCAACACCUGGUAUGUGCUUGGGUACGGACCAGACUCAGCUGUUGUGUUCUGUUUUGUCUUUUAAUCAGUUUAGUAAGAGCUUUUUGUGGUCUUAAUCACUGGUAUCAAAGCGUUGACUGAGGGAAGGUAAACUGCCGUAAGCUAAUUCUGAAUCGAAGCAGUUCAAAUCCUGGCAGAAGUACAACUGCCUCAUCCAUUUUCAAACAGAUUGGCACGAGGAUGUCAAAGAGUACAUACGUGUGCAUUGGUAUUUCUCAUAGUGCAAGAGGCUUUGCUCCAAAGACUCCAAAGUGCUUCCAUGUGAGCAUUCCCUUCUCCAGCAACAUCAUAGUUGUGGCUUUCAGAGCUCAGGGGCCUCCGAAACAGAGUGGUGAAUCCAGCUGGCCUGCCCCAGCCACAGCUUUUGGCUGGCCCGUUGGCGAGUGGAGAUGAGGAGCAUGGCUGAGUUGCCUUUUGAAAGGACUCUUCAAAAGACACGCCAGAUGAAAGAAGAGCCAUUUAAGAAUGGGUGGAAAUUCUGACCGUACCGGUUCAGAAAAGCUGCUGCAAAAACACCUUUCAUUCACGUUAGUGCAGUAUCUUAGUUUUAACUUCAGAACACGAGAACUUGCAUCUCCUUAAGAGAGUUCUGUUCAGAAAAGCAGAAAUCCUCAGAUAAUCGCUAAGGAAUAAGAGGCAGUGAGGCUGCAUUUGAUGCGAAAGAACAGAGUGCCUUGUGUCACCCACAUAAACCACAUUGCUGCUAAGUGCUCGGUGGGUAGUUUUUGCAAAGUCUGCAUUCUUGGAGAUAGUAUUUGACUGGACAAGGCUCCGACCAAUGGAAAAUGGCCAGGCCCGAAGAGUUGUGGUGAACUGAGCCAAAUCCAGUUGGCAGAGGGUCACAAGUGGUGUUCCCCGGGGCUCAGUAUUUGGGCCAGUUAUGUUUAAACUCUUUAUCAACGAUCUGGACGAGGGGAUUGAGUGCACCCUUAGUAAAUUUGCAGAUGACACCAAAUUGGGUAGGAGUGUUGAUCUGCUGGAGGGUAGGAUGGCCAUACAGAGGGAUCUGGACCGGCUGGAUCGUUGGGCUGAGACCAAUUGUAUGAGGUUUAACAAGGCCAAGUGCUGGGUCCUGCACUUGGGUCACAACGACCCCAGGCAGCGCUACAGGCUCGGGGAAGAAUAGCUGGAGAGCUGCCUGGCAGAGAAGGAUCUGGGGGUGUGGAUUGACAGCUGGCUGAACAUGAGCCAGCAGCGUGCCCAGGUGGCCAAAAAGGCCAACAGCAUCCUGGCUUGUAUCAGGAAUAAUGUGGCCAGCAGGACUAGAGAAGUGAUUGUGGCACUGUACUUGGUGCUAGUGAGGCUACACCUUGAAUCCUGUGUUCAGUUUUGGGCCCCUUGUCAUAAGGAGGACAUUUAAAUACUGGAGAGAAUGCAGAGCAGGCAACGAAGCUGGUUCAGGGGUCUGGAGCACAAGUCUGAUGGGAGUGGCUGAGGGAACUGGGGGGUUCAGCCUGGAGAACAGGAGGCUGAGGGGAGACCUUAUCACUGUCUACAACUACCGAAAAGGAGGUUGUAGCAUGGAGGGUGUUGGUCUCUUUUCCCAAGUAGCAAGUGAUAGGACAAGAGGAAAUGGCCUCAAGUUGCACCAUGGGAGGUUUAGAUUGGAUACUAGGAAAAAAUUCUUCAUGGAAAGGGUUGUGAACCAUUGGAACAGGCUGCCCAGGGCAGUGGUGGAGUCGCCAUCACUGGAGGUGUUUAAAAGGCAUUUAGACAAGGUUCUUGGGAACAUAGGUUAGUGCUAGAGUUAGGUAUGGUUAUGGUUGGAGUUGAUGAUCCUGAGGGUCUCUUCCAACCAAAAUGAUUCUAUUCUAUGAAAUUUGAGGUUGACCUCACUUUCAGAGGGUUGGAUCAAAUCACCUCUGUGGAUCUCUUCUAACCUAACCUAUUGCAGGAUUCUAUGAUUAGGUAAUAGAUAGUUUUGGGCUGGGCUGUUUUUUUUUUGUUUGGGUUUUUUUUUGGGGGGAGGGAAGGAAGAGAAGCUGCUUUUGUAAAAAGUUUUACAGAAACAGCUUUGUUACCCAGGUUUUAGGGCUGGAGAAGCUGAGGCAUCCUAAGAAGUGCCCCGUGUACCACAAUGCACUAGGAAGGAAAGCUGCAAGCGGUAGUAAAACACACCUGUGGCUCCGCAGACAGUUCUGAAAUGGGGUGAUACAUCCCUCUGGAGAUGUCUUACUAUCCCAUUCAGCAUGGCUUUGGCACGUAUUUAUGAGCACAAGAUAACAUCCCAUGCAUCUGCACCAGAAAAAAUGCUUAUUAUCCUUUGAGCUGGGCUAUAAAGCUAUGCCACCCCCUCCAUAACUUUGUCCCCAGGCCUGACGCAUUAAAAUGACAUCAGGUUUCUCACUAGAAACAAUCAGGCUUCAUCACUGUGUGCAGAGAUACAUUUCCACUUCUUCCCUCUGUGUUUGACAUCCUGCUUAGAGGGUGCUGACUUACUUCCCUGGAUAACACAAGAUCUCUGAGCUCUUUAUUACUGUAGAUGGCAGUUUUGGAACUGGUCCUAGCUAGGUCAAGAAACCUCCUUUUGUGGCAACCUACUGUCCUUUGUGAAGCUUUGUCUCACUACUGCUCUUCUCCCACCAGUGGAACUGUUUGCAAUGGUAGUGCAAUCCAACAUCCAGAACAAGUCUAAACUUGCAGGGAAGUUGAGGCACAGCUUUACUUCUCUUUGGUCAGCAGAAUGGUUAUAUGGAUGAGAGAUUCCUUCAGCCUACUGCAGUGCUUUAGCUAUCAAUCAAGAACUUUUCUGGUAUCUCUAGCGAUGUCCGCUCUGUUGAAAGCAAUGGUUGCUAAAGUCGGCCAUUGGCACAAACCAUUCCACUUCUACUAUGUAAAUUUAAGUCUCCUCCUCUGUCCCCCCCAGUCUCUAAUGUAAAGCACCCCUCUGCAUGUACAAUACUGGUCAUACAGGACAGCAAGAGGAGACAAAUGUUGUUUACUGUCCUACUGAUGAUGUUAAAUAAAGAGGCUUUGUGAGAGA